rnacentral:rRNA from 1 species
UUGAGUAGCGAGAGAAAGGUGAGAAUCCUUUCGGCCGAAUAUCCAAGGUUUCCAGGGUAAAGCUGAUCUGCCCUGGGUAAGUCGGGGCCUAAGGCGAGACAGAAAUGCGUAGUCGAUGGACAGCAGGUUGAGAUUCCUGCACCCGUAAUGAACAGAACUGUAGUGACACGGAAGGUAAGACAGAGCCGGGAAUGAGAAAACCGGUGCAAGCACAAUAGAUGUGUGGGAGGAAAAUCCCCCGCAUAAGUCAAAGGUGUGAUGCGGACCGAAAAAGAGUAGGGAAGCUGUUAAGCAAGCCGUCAAGAAAAGCUGCUAUUGUUUCAUUAUGGCCCGUACCGUAAACCGACACAGGUGGAUGGGGAGAGAAUCCUAAGGCCGGCGGAAGAAGUAUUGUUAAGGAACUCGGCAAAAUGACCCCGUAACUUCGGGAGAAGGGGUGCCUGCGAGAGCAGGCCGCAGAGAAGAGGCCCAAGCAACUGUUUAGCAAAAACACAGGUCUAUGCAAAACCGAAAGGUGAGGUAUAUGGGCUGACGCCUGCCCGGUGCUGGAAGGUUAAGGGGAGUGGUCAGGAAACGAAGCCACGAACUUAAGCCCCAGUAAACGGCGGCCGUAACAAUAACGGUCCUAAGGUAGCGAAAUUCCUUGUCGGGUAAGUUCCGACCCGCACGAAAGGCGUAAUGAUUUGGGCGCUGUCUCGACAAUACAUCCGGUGAAAUUGAAGUGCCAGUGAAGAUGCUGGCUACCUGCGCCAGGACGGAAAGACCCCAUGGAGCUUUACUCCAGCUUGAUACUGGGACCCGGUAUUGCAUGUACAGGAUAGGUGGGAGGCUAGGAAAUGUGGACGCCAGUCUGCAUGGAGCCGCUGUUGGGAUACCACCCUUGUGGUGCUGGGUUUCUAACCAGAGGCCGUGAACCGGUCUGGGGACAAUGUCAGGUGGGGAGUUUGACUGGGGCGGUCGCCUCCGAAAGGGUAUCGGAGGCGCCCAGAGGUUCCCUCAGAAUGGUUGGAAACCAUUCGAAGAGUGCAAAGGCAGAAGGGAGCUUGACUGCGACACCGACGGGUGGAGCAGGUACGAAAGUAGGGCUUAGUGAUCCGGUGGAAUUUAAGUGGGAAUGCCAUCGCUCAACGGAUAAAAGCUACCCUGGGAUAACAGGCUGAUCACUCCCAAGAGUUCACAUCGACGGAGUGGUUUGGCACCUCGAUGUCGGCUCAUCGCAUCCUGGGGCUGAAGUCGGUCCCAAGGGUUGGGCUGUUCGCCCAUUAAAGCGGUACGCGAGCUGGGUUCAGAACGUCGUGAGACAGUUCGGUCCCUAUCCGGCGUGGGCGUAGGAUAUCUGAGAGGAGCUGUCCUUAGUACGAGAGGACCGGGAUGGACUGACCUCUGGUGUACCGGUUGGCGAUCAACGCCACGGCCGGGUAGCCAUGUCGGGACGGGAUAAACGCUGAAGGCAUCUAAGCGUGAAGCCCCCCUCAAGAUGAGAUAUCCCAUCGUAAGAGUAAGACCCCUUGAAGACGACGAGGUUGAUAGGGCAGGGGUGGAAGUGCUGUAAGGCAUGGAGCUGACUGCUACUAAUCGGUCGAGGGCUUGACCAA